AAACCGGGUCUUACUCAUCAUUCAAAUUGUCUGCGAGCCUGAAUUUUUGUGGCCGUGGGACAAAGAACCCCGUCUUUAACGGAACUAAGGAAAAGCCCUGCAACAAUUUUGGCGCGCAACGUGGGGACUUGAGAAGCGGGAAUGAAGAAGAUCAAGACAGAACAACAGCCCACCCGGUAACAUUGAACUCUUUUGUGUCAACUAAAAGAACAUAUGAACAUAGCAGGGCUGUCAAGAUAAGGCCACAAGCUUGCCGAGUUGGGGACCUUUGAAAUACAAGGUGGAUUUGAAGAUGACUGGCCAAUGCAUUGGGAAUGAGACAUGUCAGAGUCAAGUAAAUAAAAUAACAGAAGAGAACAAAAGUAGGAAGACAAUAUGCCCAGUAAGUUAAAAAGUCAAAGAUUUUGCAAUGAGCAUAAACAGA
rnacentral:lncRNA from 10 species